ACUCUCCUACGGGACGCAGCAGUGAGGAAUAUUGGUCAAUGGGCGGAAGCCUGAACCAGCCAAGUCGCGUGAGGGAAUAAGGCCCUACGGGUCGUAAACCUCUUUUGCCGGGGAGCAAGGGCCGGGACGCGUCCCGGCCCGGAGAGUACCCGGAGAAAAAGCAUCGGCUAACUCCGUGCCAGCAGCCGCGGUAAUACGGAGGAUGCGAGCGUUGUCCGGAUCUAUUGGGUUUAAAGGGUGCGUAGGCGGGCUUUUAAGGCAGCGGUAAAAAUUCGGGGCCCAACCCCGUCCGGCCGUUGAAACUG
rnacentral:rRNA from 1 species